rnacentral:hammerhead_ribozyme from 1 species
AUCCAGCUGACGAGUCCUAAAUAGGACGAAGCAUACGUCAAACUGGAU